GCCCUUACGACCAGGGCUACACACGUGCUACAAUGGCGCAUACAAAGAGAAGCGACCUCGCGAGAGCAAGCGGACCUCAUAAAGUGCGUCGUAGUCCGGAUUGGAGUCUGCAACUCGACUCCAUGAAGUCGGAAUCGCUAGUAAUCGUGGAUCAGAAUGCCACGGUGAAUACGUUCCCGGGCCUUGUACACACCGCCCGUCACACCAUGGGAGUGGGUUGCAAAAGAAGUAGGUAGCUUAACCUUCGGGAGGGCGCUUACCACUUUGUGAUUCAUGACUGGGGUGAAGUCGUAACAAGGUAACCGUAGGGGAACCUGCGGUUGGAUCACCUCCUUACCUUAAAGAAGC
rnacentral:rRNA from 3 species